rnacentral:piRNA from 1 species
UAGAUUGUGCAACAUCUGGAAUGCCUUU